rnacentral:lncRNA from 1 species
CCCCACACCUAGCCUUUUGCUUGUCCUCAAGCAAAUAAACUUAGUCAAACAAGCUCUCUUUACUACUUGAUCCUUUAUUUCUACUUAAGCUCUUACUCUAGAUCCCUACUUUGAAGUAUUGCAGUGAAGAAUGUAUGCACCAAGGUUACUCACCUUCUUUCCUUGCCUCCCUUUACCUUCCAUGGCUAGUAUUUAUUUUCCUCAAGAGAGAGAUUAUACAUGCACAUAUUCUUGUUCAGUUAAGACU